CGGGGUUGCGUGGAGGUGCUGGCCCUCCUCAGGGCAGCAGUGUGGCAGAGUCCUCGGCUGUGUGGGGGGAGCAGUCUAAGAACCCUCACAUCCAGGAUCAUUCCAGCGAUUCCCAGCCCUCGGGGCACCCUCAGGCAGCGCCACAGCCAGGCGGGAGGAACAGAGGCUGGCCAGAGCUGAGACACUGCCUCCGACGCAGCUUCCAGUAUGCCUUGCACCAGGGCCCCACCGUGGGACCCAGGUGGCAGCUUUGCUGUUCUCGACAAAUGCAAACCCCAUCCUGUGACACCAGCCAAGGAAGCAGGCACCGCCAACAGCUUGGCGCUCACCAAACCACUUCGUCCAUCUGAAAUGAAUUUGGCAGAAUGACACUCUCUUUCUUGUGAAAUCCAGUCCUGCCUUGGGAUCCACAGAUGCCCCGACAUGUCCUACCUUCCCCGUCCCUUGGUCCCUCAUUCAGUCACUCUACAAGUAUGUUUUGAGCCUUUGUUAGGCACCAAACACUGGUGAUCCUGCUUUGAAUAGAUCAUGUCCCUGUGCUGGGAAAGAUGCGUUCAAUGGAGGAGACAGGGAGCAAACAAACAAACAAACAAACGGUGCUGUGGCUUGGAUGUGUGUCCCCUCCUAAUCUCAUGUUGAAAUGUGACCCCCAGUGUUGGAAGUGGGCUUAGCUGGAGGUGUUGAGUCAUGGGGGUGGAUCCCUCAUGAAUGGGUCAGCCCUGCCCCUUGGCCAUGAGUGGUAGCGAGAUGCCAGAGCUGAUUGUUUAAAAGAGCCUGAGGCCGGGUAC
rnacentral:lncRNA from 10 species